rnacentral:rRNA from 1 species
CCUACGGGAGGCAGCAGUGGGGAAUAUUGGACAAUGGGCGAAAGCCUGAUCCAGCCAUGCCGCGUGUGUGAAGAAGGCCUUCGGGUUGUAAAGCACUUUCAGUGGGGAAGAAAGCCUUGGGGCUAAUACCCUCGAGGAAGGACAUCACCCACAGAAGAAGCACCGGCUAACUCCGUGCCAGCAGCCGCGGUAAUACGGAGGGUGCGAGCGUUAAUCGGAAUUACUGGGCGUAAAGCGCGCGUAGGCGGUCUGAUAAGCCGGUUGUGAAAGCCCCGGGCUCAACCUGGGAACGGCAUCCGGAACUGUCAGGCUAGAGUGCAGUAGAGGAAGGUAGAAUUCCCGGUGUAGCGGUGAAAUGCGUAGAGAUCGGGAGGAAUACCAGUGGCGAAGGCGGCCUUCUGGACUGACACUGACGCUGAGGUGCGAAAGCGUGGGUAGCAAACAGGAUUAGAUACCCGGGUAGUC